CACGUAGGCGGUGCCGCAAGUGGUGUGUGAAAUCUCUCCGCUUAACGGGGAAACGGCGCACCAAACUGCGGUGCUUGAGUUCAGGAGGGGAGAGCGGAAUUCCUGGUGUAGCGGUGAAAUGCGUAGAUAUCAGGAGGAACACCGGUGGCGAAGGCGGCUCUCUGGACUGAUACUGACGCUGAGGUGCGAAAGCUAGGGGAGCAAACA
rnacentral:rRNA from 1 species